UAGGGAAUCUUCCGCAAUGGGCGAAAGCUUGACGGAGCAACGCCGCGUGAGUGAUGAAGGUCUUCGGAUCGUAAAACUCUGUUAUUAGGGAAGAACAAAUGUGUAAGUAACUAUGCACGUCUUGACGGUACCUAAUCAGAAAGCCACGGCUAACUACGUGCCAGCAGCCGCGGUAAUACGUAGGUGGCAAGCGUUAUCCGGAAUUAUUGGGCGUAAAGCGCGCGUAGGCGGUUUUUUAAGUCUGAUGUGAAAGCCCACGGCUCAACCGUGGAGGGUCAUUGGAAAUUGGAAAACUUGAGUGCAGAAGAGGAAAGAGGAAUUCCAUGUGUAGCGGUGAAAUGCGCAGAGAUAUGGAGGAACACCAGUGGCGAAGGCGACUUUAUGGUCUGUAAAUGACGCAGAUGUGCGAAAGCGUGGGGAUCAAACAGG
rnacentral:rRNA from 1 species